CCUGGCCCAGAAGUAUUGCUGGUGUGGCUGCUGGGUCACAUGUGUGUCAGGAGGUGGCAGAGAGGAGGGAAGCUAUGUUUGAGUUCCAUGGUAGCCUAACAUU
ensembl:snoRNA LOC120100455 small nucleolar RNA SNORA17